ACGAACCUGCCCGAGGACAUCACGUUGCAGAUCGGUAUGGGAACUUAAAAAACAUCGUUUUGAAAAGUCAACUCCCGAGCACUUCUGCCGGAGGCAGUCUUGCUGAAGUUUUCGUAAGAUGUUGAAGACAAGAGCGUGUCAAUUCAUGUUAUACUGACUGGCGUUUCAAAGUUCCGUUUUAGGUUGGAGUAGAACGUGACUUCGAUAUCGUUUUAGUAAAAGUAAAGUUUUGUGGCUUGAAACGUAAGAAGUUUCCCAAAUCCGCCUUUUUCAUCGUAUAUGUGGGAAGUUAGGUUCCUAGACACGUUUAUGGUACUGGAUGGUCAUAGCAAUACAGUGGAACCCAUCGAUUUUUCGAACCUACCGAUAACUCGAACCACUGGAAAGUCGCUUCCCUCGGCUUCAGUCGAACACUUUGAUUUUACCAAGGAUUUCUCUAAACUACCCCGUUUCUCAAACCAAUUUUCGUUUCCCUUGGAGGUUCAAAAAAUCGGGAUUCCUCUGUACUCUAACAUCAUGCAGCCUAAGUGUUUUCAACGGAACCUAAAGAUGGCGGACCACGCAUCGACACAUUUCAUAUGUAACAGGGCGUAGUAUAUUUUUAAAGCUCCAGUUGUGGAAGGGUGUUUAUGUAUACCACACACUCAACAAAGGAGGGUUUUUAAUAGGUAUGUUAGCUGUCAUUACACUAAUUUACUCUUUUUAGCCAUCUUAUCGCAAUAUUUUUAAAGCGGGUGGGACUGACUGCGUGGGUGUGCUUCGGAAUGAAUCGCUCGAAAGUUGUAGCUGGAAAUCAACGGUGUAGCUACAACAUUGACUGUUAAUUAGCCGGUGUGUUUUGAAAGUCAAUAAAAAUUGAAUAGGUUGAGAAUUUCUGUCGAACAUUUUCUUUUCUUAAUAACUAUUAACUUGCGCCUACAUGCAUGCAUUGGUGAGCAAGGAAGGAAUUUCUAUGCCGUAACUCCGAGUCAAGACCUUCCCAACUUCUAACUAAGCACUAGAAAAUUUGAAAAUAAUGUUUAUUUCGCAGAUUCUAAGAAACCUGAAAACAAAAGUAGGAAUUGCUACCCUGUAGGUUCUAUUUGAAUAACCACACACCAGGUUUCACCUUGGAACUACAACGGAAAGUUUGACUCUACCCGAGCGUUGAAGUCAAUGUAACAUUUAUAUUCACAAAGGCUUCCAGUUAUUGCCAAUGUUAACGAAACGCCGUUACCAGACAACGCACGUCAGUAGGAAUUAGGCAAAACUUGAACAUCUCUAUAAGUUUCAAUUGCUGCGAAAUCGCAACCAUUGUGUUGCAGGGAUGACUGAAACAUUUAGAUUUAAUAGCAUACAGGAACAAGACUGAACCUAACGUUUGUUGUUGUUCUUGCUAAAAAUACAGUAAUUUUAGAACCAUUUUCGAUCUUGGUUACCGUUUCUUUGUACGCCUGAUUCUGCUAAACCUUGAAAAAAAUUCGUAGUUCUGGAGAUCGCGUACCAAGGGCAAAAUUUAAUCGAUGCCAGUACUCAGUCUGGAUUACGUGUGACACUUCUUAACCCUUCAAAUACUAGUCAUGCCUGCAUGCGAACGUUAUUAUCAUAAAACAGCUAGAACUUUGUGUUUGAAUCGUGAUAAUUCCGUCCUUCCGUAGGCUGAAUAUAAAUGAAAGUCAGUCAAAGUUAAAUCAACAAAGGUAACUUGAUGUGUCUUCUCUAUCGCUGAGUGAUUCGUCCAGGACGGCAGACAGAACUAAAGUUUGAUCAAACUUUAUCUACGGUAAUUCAAAAUUCCAUGAAAGAUUUUCCAAAGAUACGAAACAGUUUGUCAAGAACUUUUCGGCCAAAUAACUCAUAAGCGCCAUUACGUAAUGUUAAUAUUUUUCGUUGGUGUGUCUAACAAGUAUAGUAUCUCUCAUGUUAAAUCUUAAGAUCCUCCUCUCCAAGACAGUAUGGCGGACGUAGACAACAGCCUGCAACUAGCUCUUGAAAGUCACAAGUUUAAACUUCACCCUAAAAAUACUUUCAACAGCCGCCAAAAUAAACUUUGUUGCGUGAUGAAAUUGGCAAAACAGGAAGAAGUUAUCCUCGUGUUUUAACUUGUUUUCAUGACAACUGCGAGGAUAUAAACUCAUCUAUCGCCACUCAAAUUUUACUGCAACGAAUUUGUAAGAUUUUAUCACAGUUAGCGUGAUAGAGUGCAGGAUUUUGUUCAGAAAAAAAAACCAUUGCCAAAAAAUCAGUGUGCUUUAUUUUCCCUCUUGGUCCCAUGCCAAUCAUUUUCUUAGAGCUUCAGAGCUGAAACGGAACUUGUCAAAAAUAAAGAAAUGACCUUUCAGUUCUGAACAAAUUUGACGAACAAUAUUAAGAGAAUCCCGGAAAAAUAUAGUUCAGAAACCUUACUAAUGAACGGCUUAUGAGCUACUUGGGUUUUUGCCACUUAUAUCAAAAAUUCCGCUAUUUAUUUUAACGUGUCAAGCUGUUUUAACGUUAUUUCUGCAACCUGAAAUGAAUUAAGAGAAGAUGAUUUUUUCAGGGCUACAAAAACAACUCUCGAUAAGUCGCCCAUGCGUGCCGCCCUUCUUUUAGCAAAGAAUGCGCGCAAUUAGGCCAGAUACGCCUGGAAUCCUUGGCAAGGUUAUAAACAACUUAAUUCGACGCCUUUUAUUCGAAAGCAUAGCGUAAUUGGCAUUUCUCUUGGGGGUGAGGCGAGUUUUGCCAGGGCGGUAAGCGACACUUGGUCUCUCGUGUCAAGUGCGGGGUUGUUUACGAAAGUUUAUAGGCACGUACGCGGAUUUUGAACAAACACGAUUUUGUUCCACUUUUAUUCCACUCCGGGGGAGUGAACUUUAAUAUUCUUGCAGCGAAAGUAGUGAGUAAAAAUCUCCCUCUGCCUUCCUGUCAGACUUCCAUUUAUUGAAGUAACGCAUUCUAUUUGUGACUUUUUAAUUAGAGUCUGCUUGCUGUUAGGGGGUUUCUGUUUAUAAACCUUCAGGGGACAAAAACUUCUCUCCCUCUCCUGUUCGCAUUCUGUCUCUCCCCCCGUUUAACAUUCAGUUGUUAUAUUUGCCUAUAUCUUUUAAUUGGCGGUUAGGUCUGUACUUAAAAUCUCCCACAAAAUCAUAAGCUGAUUUGUCCCUUGUCCAGUCUAUACAUAAUGCAAUUUAGCAGAUUUGUUUUCAGCCAAAACAACCAAGCUCGUUGACCGUCUGUGAAAGGUUUGAUUGGUGUUGAAAAGGGCGCACGUGGUUGAACACGCACUGACAUUAUUUAUUACGUCGCUCAAUUCUCCAGAAAAAAAAAAAAACUGCUAACAGCGAAGAUUCGGACAUGCCCCGGCAGAAACUCGCUUACGCUAGCUUAAGUCAUGUAUUUCCGGAGAAGAUGUGUCCAAAAAAACGAAUAAUAUUAAAUAACAAUAAUGAUAAUAACAAAUAAAAAAAGAAUAAAAACACAGAAUUGAUCUCCCAGCUCGAGUUAAGUCACUAUUACGUAAGCAAGUUAAUUUAGAUGCAGAAUCCAGUUAAGUCCUUGUUCAACACUUCCAAACAUACCACAACACUCUUGAAAGUUCACGAACUCUUAAGACCCAAGUCACGUUUUCUUGUCGCGUUGAAAUAGUUGUUUUCCUUUCUCGUUUGGAAUGACAACAAUGACGGUCGCAUGUAAAUUCUAAGCACCUUAUUUUAAUACCACCCGGAGAAGGUCAAUGUUAGAACGUAGUUGGCAUUUUUCAACAUUGUCUUCUUUUUGUCGAAUUGGCGGUAUGUUUUAUAUUAAAUCACGCGUAUUUCAGGGCCAGAGAUAACAGAACUUCCGUGCUCCCGUAACGAACAAUUUAACAUGGCUUGACGCCCAGCUGAGGGCGCAUAAUAAUAGCUCUCUUUGUUGUGAUCGGUGUUGCUACUUGGAGAGAUUAAGAUUUAACACUGAAGAUCACGCACGUCUUAAACAGGCUUUAAAUCUUCUUAUACACCGAAAGACAGCUAUAGAAUGCUCAUCUAAUCGGAGAGUAAACAUUUUACUGCCUAACUUUGGUGGUGUCGUUAACGGCAGUCAAGGACAACUUCGUCGUAUCGUCUGUAAAUACAACUUUAAUGAAUCCUCGAAUAAAGUCGAGAAUGAAGCUUUUG
rnacentral:lncRNA from 1 species